rnacentral:sRNA from 1 species
ACUGUCUUCUGAGGCUGGGAUUUCAAAUCAGAGCUUGUUUUUCUGAAUGAAUUUCUCACACUAUAUCAGCAUUCUAUCUGAAUUCAGCUAUUUCUAUUACAAGAGAGUCUUUGAGAAUUGAAUGAAUGAUGGUGCAUCUUAUCAUAUCUCUACGACAGUAAAAGAGUGAGUGUGACGGGUUAGCACCCGUUAGUAGUCAACUUAAGCAACCACCCUCUCACGUGCUCACGCGCACCUACGAAACGCCCUUCUCAUCGCGAUUCCCGAUCUCUCCUCUAUAAGAACCCCCUUCAUACGAUCUUUCCUUCUGAUCUCUUUUCUCUUUCUUUCCUUAAUCGAUUCGUAAUCUGUAUUUAGGAUAGUGCUUAGUCCGUUAAUCGGUAGUACGCCCGUUACAGUGAGCAAAGAAUGUGUGAAUUGAAUUGUGAAGAAUGACCUGCACAAUUCUCUGAUUUAAAUUCAAUUGAGAAUCUCUGGAUGACUAUGAAGUGCUGUGUGUCAAAGAUAAGACAUAACUUAUAAGAAACACUCUACAG